AGAAAGUUCUGAGGUCAUCAGGAGGGAGCCUGAGGCAAUUUGGGGUCUGUAGGAGAACGUGGUGACCCCAUAAAACAUCUCAAAAUGGUCCUGGGGUCAUCAUGAGGGGCUCCAAAGUCACUUUGGGGUCUGUAGGACAAUGUGGUGACCCCAUAAAACAUCUCAAAGAGGUCCUGGGGUCACCAUGGAGACCCUUUGGUCACUUCGGGGUCUGUAGGACAAUGUGGUGACCCCAUAAAACAUCUCAAGGAGGUCCUGGGGUCAUCAAGAGGGACUUAAAGGUCGCUGGAGGUCUGUAGGAGAAUGUGGUGACCCCAUAAAACAUCUCAAGGAGAUUCUAGGGUCAUCAGGAGGGAGCCUGAGGUCAUUUGGGGUUUGUGGGACAAUGUGGUGACCCCAUAAAACAUCUCCAGGAGAUCCUGAGGUCAUGAUGAGGGACUCCAAAGUCACUUUGGGGUCUGUAGGAGAACGUGGUGACCCCAUAAAACAUCUCCAGGAGGUCCUAGGUCCAUCAUGAGGGACUUCAGAGUCACUUUGGGGUGUUUGGGACAAUGUGGUGACCCCAUAAAACAUCUCCAGAAGGUCCUAGGGUCAUCAAAAGUCACUUUGGGAUAUUUGGGACAAUGUGGUGACCCCAUCAAACAUCUCCAGGGUCCCCAAGGUCACUUUGGGCUCUGUAGGACACCCCUGCCCCGCGUGCUGUGCCGCACCAAGGGGCUCUUCGCCAGGUACCUGGAGGGGUGGGGGGGACCCCAAACGGGACCCCAGAUGGGUUAGGGGGGUUGGGGACACAGGGUGGGAAGGUCCAAGGUCACCACAGGGAGUCCAUGGCCACCAUGAGGGAGUUUGAGGUCACUGGGGGGCUGUGGGACAAUGUGGAGACACCAUAAAACAUCUCCAGAAGGUUCUAGGGUCAUCAGGAGAGAGUCUGAGGUCAUUUGGGGUCUGUAGGAGAACGUGGUGACCCCAUAAAACAUCUCCAGAAGGUUCUGGGGUCAUCAAGAGGGGAUCCAAAGUCAUUUUAGGGUGUUUGGGACAAUGUGGUGACCCCAUAAAACGUCUCAAGGAGAUGCUGGGGUCAUCAGGAGGGACUUCAGAGUCAUUUUGGGGUCUGUAGGAGAACGUGGUGACCCCAUAAAACAUCUCCAGAAGGUUCUAGGGUCAUCAGGAGGGAACCUGAGGUCAUUUGGGGUCUGUAGGAGAACGUGGUGACCCCAUAAAACAUGUCCAGAAGGUUCUGGGGUCAUCAGGAGGGACUUCAGAGUCACUUUGAGGUCUGUAGGAGAACGUGGUGACCCCAUAAAACAUCUCCAGAAGGUUCUGGGGUCAUCAAGAGGGGCUCCAAAGUCACUUUGGGGUGUUUGGGACAAUGUGGUGACCCCAUAAAACAUCUCCAGAAGGUUCUGGGCUCAUCAGGAGGGAAUCUGAGGUCAUUUGGGGUCUGUAGGACAAUGUGGUGACCCCAUAAAACAUCUCCAGAAGGUUCUGAGGUCAUCAAGAGGGGAUCCAAAGUCAUUUUAGGGUGUUUGGGACAAUGUGGUGACCCCAUAAAACAUCUCAAGGAGGUUUUGGGGUCACCAUGAGAGACUUCAAGGUCACUGGAGGUCUGUAGGACAAUGUAGGGACCCCAUAAAACAUCUCCAGAAGAUCCUGGGGUCAUCAUGGGGGACUUCAAAGUCGCUUUAGGGUGUUUGGGACAAUUUGGUGAUGCCAUAAAACAUCUCCAGGGGAUCCUGGGGUCAUCAGGAGGGGCUCCAAAGUCACUUUGGGGUCUGUAGGAGAAUGUGGUGACCCCAUAAAACAUCUCCAGAAGGUUCUGGGGUCAUCAGGAGGGAGCCUGAGGUCAUUUGGGGUCUGUAGGGGAACGUGGUGACCCCAAAAAACAUCUCCAGAAGGUUCUGGGGUCACCAUGAGGGGCUCCAAAGUCACUUUGGGCUCUGUAGGACAAUUUGGGGACACCAUAAAAUGUCACCCUGAGGUCACCAUGGGGACCCCAAAGCCACCAGAGGGACCCCAAGGCCACCCUGAGGUCCCCAAGGCCACCACAGGGACCCCUCCCAGUAUAAACCAGUACAACCCAGUGCCUCCCUGCUGGGCUGUGCACCAUCGUGGGACAUCCCAGUACAAACCAGUAUAAACCAGUGUGAACCAGUGCAACAUCGCUGGAUCUGCAUCGCCUUGGGCCUGACCAGUACAGACCAGUAUGAA